rfam:Schistosoma mattheei strain Denwood, Zambia genome assembly, scaffold: SMTD_scaffold0004128
AUCCAGAUGAUGAGUCCUAAACAGAAUGAGACGUGAGUCCAGGAU